rnacentral:rRNA from 1 species
GACGAACGCUGGCGGCGUGCUUAACACAUGCAAGUCGAACGGAAAGGCCCUGCUUUUGUGGGGUGCUCGAGUGGCGAACGGGUGAGUAACACGUGAGUAACCUGCCCUUGACUUUGGGAUAACUUCAGGAAACUGGGGCUCAUACCGGAUAGGAGCUCCUGCUGCAUGUUGGGGGUUGGAAAGUUUCGGCGGUUGGGGAUGGACUCGAGGCUUAUCAGCUUGUUGGUGUGGUAGUGGCUUACCAAGGCUUUGACGGGUAGCCGGCCUGAGAGGGUUACCGGCCACAUUGGGACUGAGAUACGGCGCAGACUCCUACGGGAGGCAGCAGUGGGGAAUAUUGCACAAUGGGCGGAAGCCUGAUGCAGCAACGCCGCGUGCGGGAUGACGGCCUUCGGGUUGUAAACCGCUUUCGCCUGUGACGAAGCGUGAGUGACGGUAAUGGGUAAAGAAGCACCGGCUAACUACGUG